GAUGAACGCUGGCGGCGUGCCUAAUACAUGCAAGUCGAGCGAACGGACGAGAAGCUUGCUUCUCUGAUGUUAGCGGCGGACGGGUGAGUAACACGUGGAUAACCUACCUAAAAGACUGGGAUAACUUCGGGAAACCGGAGCUAAUACCGGAUGAUAUUUUGAACCGCAUGGUUCAAAAGUGAAAGACGGUCUUGCUGUCACUUAUAGAUGGAUCCGCGCUGCAUUAGCUAGUUGGUAAGGUAACGGCUUACCAAGGCAACGAUGCAUAGCCGACCUGAGAGGGUGAUCGGCCACACUGGAACUGAGACACGGUCCAGACUCCUACGGGAGGCAGCAGUAGGGAAUCUUCCGCAAUGGGCGAAAGCCUGACGGAGCAACGCCGCGUGAGUGAUGAAGGUCUUCGGAUCGUAAAACUCUGUUAUUAGGGAAGAACAUAUGUGUAAGUAACUGUGCACAUCUUGACGGUACCUAAUCAGAAAGCCACGGCUAACUACGUG
rnacentral:rRNA from 1 species